GCUUGCAAUCAGACUCGCCUUCAGUUGAUCAGCCUUCCUUCUGGUUGGUGCACUCUGCUGUUGGCGGGCCAGCAUCAGUUGGGGCGGUGGGACAAAGGCGGCAGGAAUGUGGCUCGCUUCGGUGAGUGUUAUAGCCUGCUGUGUCAUGCCACCAGUCCCGACUGAGGUCCGCGGUUCGCCUAGGAUGCUGGCUUAAUGGUUGUAAGCGA
rnacentral:rRNA from 1 species